GGGGGCGUGGUGGAAUGGUAGACACAACGGACUUAAAAUCCGUUGACUCCCGAGUCGUGAGGGUUCAAGUCCCUCCGCCCCCA
rnacentral:tRNA from 1 species